rnacentral:misc_RNA from 1 species
UACCGAGUCGUCGACACGGGUUGUUGCUGGUCCUCAAACGGGGGACACGUGCACGCUCUGUUUACACAUCCACUCACACCUGUGCACCCUCUGUAGUUCUAUGGUCUGGGGGGCCCUGCCUCCCUUCUGUGGUUCUGCAUAUUUACACACGCAAUGUAACAAAGUCUUAUGGAAUGCGCAUCGCGUUUAACGCAAUACAAUACAACUUUCAGCAACGGAUCUCUUGGCUCUCGCAUCGAUGAAGAACGCAGCGAAAUGCGAUAAGUAAUGUGAAUUGCAGAAUUCAGUGAAUCAUCGAAUCUUUGAACGCACCUUGCGCCCCUUGGCAUUCCGAGGGGCACACCCGUUUGAGUGUCGUGAAAUCAUCAAAAACCUUUUUCUUUUGACCUUCUUUGGUCGGGAAACGGAUUUUUGGACUUGGAGGUUCCAUGCUUGCUUUCAAGCCUUUGAAAGCGAGCUCCUCUCAAAUGAAUUAGCCCGCCAGCGUUUGGUGGCAUCACGGGUGUGAUAAAUAUCUACGCUUGCGAUCGCCCACCAGGUAACCUUCAGCGAUGGGGGUUCGCUGGGGCUCAUAGACGUCCCUCCCUCGGCGAGGACAGUUUUUUUAACGUUCG